rnacentral:rRNA from 1 species
AUUGAACGCUGGCGGCAGGCCUAACACAUGCAAGUCGAGCGGAUGAAGGGAGCUUUCUCCUGGAUUCAGCGGCGGACGGGUGAGUAAUGCCCAGGAAUCUGCCUGGUAGUGGGGGAUAACGUCCGGAAACGGGCGCUAAUACCGCAUACGUCCUGAGGGAGAAAGUGGGGGAUCUUCGGACCUCACGCUAUCAGAUGAGCCUAGGUCGGAUUAGCUAGUUGGUGGGGUAAAGGCCUACCAAGGCGACGAUCCGUAACUGGUCUGAGAGGAUGAUCAGUCACACUGGAACUGAGACACGGUCCAGACUCCUACGGGAGGCAGCAGUGGGGAAUAUUGGACAAUGGGCGAAAGCCUGAUCCAGCCAUGCCGCGUGUGUGAAGAAGGUCUUCGGAUUGUAAAGCACUUUAAGUUGGGAGGAAGGGCAGUAAGUUAAUCCCUUGCUGUUUUGACGUUACCAACAGAAUAAGCACCGGCUAACUUCGUG